AUUUCUAUGGUAGUCUGAAUAUUUUCUUCUCUACUGCAGUAACUGUUAAAUAGUGGGAAAGUAAACUUAAAUUUAUUGAGUAUCUUAUACUGAAGAAAGUGUCAUUUUCUGUAUCCACCCCUUCCCCACUGAUAGACAUAGAUGCUGAAAUCACUGAGGAAUUAAUUACCUUGCCUCAGGGCAUGGACAGAUCCUGAUGUGACUCAAAGACUCUGCUUUCCUGACUGUAUCAUGGUGUUUCUUUAUGGAGAAAAGGCUUUUAAAAAGGGUGGUCAGGAAAGCAUCUGACGACAUGAGAGGAGCAAGCCAUGUGAAGAAGGGCUUUUGAGACAGAGAAGAACAAGUAGAGGGGCUAACCGGAAGAGUGAGUAGGAUGAUUACAUAUUCAAGGAAUAGCAGAAAGGCCAGUGUAGCUGGAGUGUGGAGAAGUCCUCUGCUGUGGAUAUGUUUCUUAAAAAGUCUUGGCAAGCCAAAGUUGCCGUUACAGGAGCUGCACGUCUCAUAAGAAUGGCCCUGCCUUGGUAUCCUUGCUGUGUUCAGUAAUUAGCUGGGAGCAGCUUAUGAAGUAUAGCCUUGAGCACAGAAGAUGGAGUUCUCAAUCAGUUAUGCUCCCCACAACAGAUCAAAGGUGUGUUUUCAUGACCCCACAGAGGGAAAGCAAGAAAGUGAGUCUUAUUUUGUAGUCUAGGUGGCUAAUGAUGGUGGCUUGGAUUAAGGCAAAGGUUCUCAAACUUCCCCUAUUUACAGUGCUCUUACUAUCUUGACUUUUUCACAGCACCCCUAGGCCAAAAGAAAUGCCUAAGAGUUUCGUUUAUAGUGUAGUCAGGUCCAAACAAUUUAAUAAAUAUAUGUGUCCUAACAAGUUAGUGAUUGUUUGAAAAAAUAAUACAUAAUUUGUAAGCAAAUAUAUUUAAUUUCAUUCUUAAAUAACCAUGUUUAUUUUCUAAGAAGCGGUGUAGAUAUGUUGAGCACUAAGCAGCUUCUCAGAUCUCGGAAUCCGAUUGGACACUGCCACUCUCACUUCCUGUUCCACAUCUCUACUUUUCUGCAAUUCUAGCUUUUUAUCAUAGCAACUACUAAAAAAACAGUUUUUCAAAGACAUAAAACGGAAUGUAGUAAUCCAGUAUUGAAACUGUGAACUAUAUUCAACCAGUAGUUUGUGCGGUGCUAACAAACCAAUGGUCCUGUGGCCUCCUUGGUGCACAGUGUGGAAACCUUGGGGCUUAGGGUGGUAAUGUGAGAGGUGGUUAGAUUCUGGAUAUAUUUUGAAAGUAGAAAUAAAAGGUGUUAGGUUUUAGACUGAGGAGUCAAGAAUGACUCCAAGGUUUUGGGCUUCAGGUGGAUCAGGAGUUGCCAAACUAUAGCCUCCUGUUUCCGUAAAAAUUUAAUGGAACACAGUCAUACCUGUUCAUUUGUGUAUUGUCUGUGGCUGCUUUCCCACUACAACAACAGAGGUGAAUUGUUACGGUUCUUAUGGUCUGCAAAGCCUAAAAUAAUAAUUAUAUGUCCCUUUCCAGAAAAGUUUGCCAACCUCUAAACUAGACUGAGUGGAGGAGCCAUUUACUUAGUUGGGAAUAUAAAGAUGGGGAAUAGAUUUAGAGAUGGAGUAGAAGUUAAGAGUUCAGUUUUGAACAUGGUAGGUGUCAGUUGCUUGUUAGAUCCAAGUGUAAUAACUUGUAAUAGACACUAUUUUCCUAGACUCCUAGCAGCGACUAAUAAGACUGCACCUUUUUCUGCGUUGUUUCAUGAGUUCUCAUAAGAUCCUUUACACAGUUAGUCGCUGGGUAAAUAUAUUUUUCAAAGUGAAUUGUAGCAUUUACUUUAAAAUUCUGUGUUUGUCUUGCCUCCCUGUUUCCUGUGUCCAAGAAUUAGACUUUGUGCAAAGUACUGUUCUAAUUCUAUAGCACGUUUUAUCUGUUGAAUGACUUCAGUGAAGGGACUAGUAAAGAAGCUAUGAGAAUAGUAUACAAUAAAUGAAUUUAAAAUGUGGGUUGUGGUGUUCAUGAAUUCAAGUUUUCUUGAAUUUUUAUGCUCUUCCUGUGAAUUCAAAUAGUAAAAUUUUUUUUAAUCAGCCCUAAGGAUUUAAUAUGGAUACAUUUUCCUUCAUAAGUUUAAUUUUAUCCUUUUAACUCAAUGGAUAAAAGACAGUUUCAUUAAUAGAAUAAAAUUGAUUUAUCCUUUUAUUUUUUCUUAAUUAAAAAAAUCAGUAUGAGUCCUACUAAGAAUGUUGUAUUCUACUGGUUUUUAAGGGGUUGUGUACCAAAAAUUGUCUCUGUCUUGAGUGAUUUGCAGUGUAAGUGUGGCAAAGUUUGCUUUGAAGAGCCAGUUUUGUGUAUUUAGAAACUAGUCUUUUUUUCCUGGACUAAAUGAAAAAUGUGAAAGAUUAUUUGGAUAAAAGAGCAACAAUUUUUAUUAAUAUUUUUUAUCCUCCUAUUUCUCAAUAACUUUUGAUUUA